GACGAACGCUGGCGGCGUGCCUAAUACAUGCAAGUCGAGCGAGACUCUUCGGAGUCUAGCGGCGGACGGGUGAGUAACACGUGGGCAACCUGCCUGUAAGACUGGGAUAACACCGGGAAACCGGUGCUAAUACCGGAUAAUCCUUUUCCUCUCAUGAGGAGAAGCUGAAAGACGGUUUCGGCUGUCACUUACAGAUGGGCCCGCGGCGCAUUAGCUAGUUGGUGAGGUAACAGCUCACCAAGGCGACGAUGCGUAGCCGACCUGAGAGGGUGAUCGGCCACACUGGGACUGAGAGACGGCCCAGACUCCUACGGGAGGCAGCAGUAGGGAAUCUUCCACAAUGGACGAAAGUCUGAUGGAGCAACGCCGCGUGAGCGAUGAAGGCCUUCGGGUCGUAAAGCUCUGUUGUUAGGGAAGAACAAGUACCAUAGUAACUGAUGGUACUUUGACGGUACCUAACCAGAAAGCCACGGCUAACUACGUGCCAGCAGCCGCGGUAACAC
rnacentral:rRNA from 1 species